UAGGGAAUCUUCCGCAAUGGACGAAAGUCUGACGGAGCAACGCCGCGUGAGUGAAGAAGGAUUUCGGUUCGUAAAACUCUGUUGUUAGGGAAGAAAAAAUGUAUAGUAACUAUAUACAAAAGAGACGGGACCUAACCAGAAAGCCACGGCUAACUACGUGCCAGCAGCCGCGGUAAUACGUAGGUGGCAAGCGUUGUCCGGAAUUAUUGGGCGUAAAGCGCGCGCAGGUGGUUUAGAAAGUCUGAUGUGAAAGCCCACGGCUCAACCGUGGAGGGUCAUUGGAAACUAAUAAACUUGAGUGCAGGAGAGAAAAGUGGAAUUCCUAGUGUAGCGGUGAAAUGCGUAGAGAUUAGGAGGAACACCGGUGGCGAAAGCGGCUUUUUGGCCUGCAACUGACACUGAGGCGCGAAAGCGUGGGGAGCAAACAGG
rnacentral:rRNA from 1 species